AUUGAACGCUGGCGGCAGGCCUAACACAUGCAAGUCGAACGAGUGGCGGACGGGUGAGUAAUGUCUGGGAAACUGCCUGAUGGAGGGGGAUAACUACUGGAAACGGUAGCUAAUACCGCAUACCAUCAGAUGUGCCCAGCUGGGAUUGGCUUGUUGGUGGGGUAACGGGUCGCCAAGGCGACGAUCCCUAGCUGGUCUGAGAGGAUGACCAGCCACACGGGAACUGAGACACGGUGCAGACUCCUAGGGGAGGCAGCAGUGGUGAAGAUGGCACAAUGGGAGCAAGCCGGAUGCAGCCAUGCGGCGUGUAUGAAGAAGGCCUUCGGGUUGUAAAGUACUUUCAGCGGGGAGGCGUUACCCGCAGAAGAAGCACCGGCUAACUCCGUGCCAGCAGCCGCGGUAAUAC
rnacentral:rRNA from 1 species